ACCCUCACUUAUCAGUUCUUGAAACCUCUCCCUAUAGUCCUCACAAGUCUGCUGAUGUUGACAUUAUUAAACCAUUCACAGUGGCGGCACUACUCAACAGGAAGUUGAAAGCUAACAAACCGAGGGCAGGAUCCAGAGUUCAGAAAAAUGAACCAGGGUGACCGGGAGCAUCAGAGUCUACUAAACUCCACCUAGAUCCCGCAACUCUGAUGUUCACAAGCAUACCUGGAAUGUGCAAAAAAUACAAUUACCCUUACAGUUUACCCUACAAAACAAGACCCUUUCCUUUAUUAAAAAAAAAAAAAAAUGCACGCCCAGAGUUAAGCCCGGUAGCACAAGAUCAAUUCUAAAGUUAAGAGAAAAACAGACUUACUGAUACACUACUAAAAGGAAUCUAAAGAGUGCAUAAUACGAGGAAAUAACCCUGUCCUCCCACAUUCGCCCAACUGGCACAGGACCCACCAGACCACUCCCCGGGAUCCAGGUUCUACAGCCCGGCGCGCUGGACUCCGCGCUCUCGCGCCCUGUUGUCCGGCCGAGCCCACUCCGGUCUGUCCAGGUCUGAGGGCGAAGCUACGUGCUAAGCACAAGAAAAACUCCCUUUCGAGCGAUGCCUCACAACUGGAUCAGAUUCCUGCAAAUGCAGGGGGAAAAAAGGAGGAAGAAAGGGCCGCCUGCCUGCAGCCCCUCGGACCAAGAGCACCGAACCGCAACCACGCGCCAGCCACGGACCCCCGGCCGCCCCGAGACGGGACCGGUAAUUCCACCGCCAGGCCGGGCCCCGCCCCGGGCCCGCGACCGUUCUGGGGCGUUCCUCCCGUGGGCGGCGCCUCCCUCACCGCCACUUGACUCUCUUCUUCCUGAGGGAGGCCGCGGCCGCCCCGCGACACCGAAGCCGCAGCUUCCAGGCCGCGCGGGCCCGCGACGUCCAGAGCGGCCUGCCAGGCCGGCUCCUUCCCCGCUGGCUCCCGCACGCCCUCUCUACCACCCCAAGCCCUUACCGAGGCAGCGCGGCCUCCGCGGCCCGCUCCUCCUAAUCCUUAGCCGCCGCCACCGACCCAGCGCCGCGGAGACCGGAACUUCCUCCGCGCCGGGCCGCUGCCUCCACAAAGGUGCCGCCGCCUUUAGCGCUCGGCCCGCCGGGAGAUGGAGUACACAGCGGCGGGUCGCGCCGACUCCACUCCCGGCGUACCCUGCGCGGGGGCCGGGGGCGGGGCGGGGGUGUGUGCUUGCCUGCGGGGGCGGGGCGUGAGGGGCACGCUAUUGCCCACGUCCAAUGGGAGGGUGCGCUUCCUUGCCCCGGUCCGCUGGGCCUGCUGGGGGUUGUGGUUUGGCCCUUAGCCCACGGCCGCUCGUCUUCUUUCGCUCUUCCGAGUAUGAGCAAAGCGUGCAGUCUGUGGGUGGCUUGGCUUUCUCGAGAUUUGCUCCCUGCCAGAGUGCGGACUGGACCCUGGCCUGCCUAGCUUAAAAAGGACUUACUCUCCGUUAAUGUGAAGGAAAUCUCCACCUAAGCCUUCCGGGGCAGGAGUUUGUGGCCCACAUAAGAGCCUGGCUCCCGACCCUCCCAAAGGAUAGAGGAGCAGUAAUCACACGGUCGUCCUCUUUUCCUUCUGAUGAGUUUUCAAAUUAGCCAUUCCCAGCUCAAGAAUAUCACUGGUAAAUAGGAUCCCUCUGGCUUCUAUGUGGAGAAUAGGCUGAAGGUGAAAAGGGCAGAAGCAGGCCAGCUGGCUAGGAGACUGCCUGGAAAGAUGGAAGAAUGUGGGAAGAGCAAUUUUGGCAGGAAGAAGAGGAGCUCAGUUUUCGGAGGGGGAAACUGCUGAAGAUGCUGAAAGAGUCAUUAAAGAAUUUGCCCUGAGUCACACCAGCAAGACAGCAACAGGGCUGGAACAGAUCCCAGCUUCUGGAUACAAUCGGGCCUUUUCACUUCAGCUGCAACUUCUUCACAGCACCUCAGGUUCUGAAAUGGCCACUCCAGUUAUGAAAAAAAAAGAAAUCUGUGGAAGAACAGAGGUCUUUUACCUUUGUGCUUCCUCCUGGUGGCUCCGAUGGUUAAGAAUCUGCCUGCAAUGAGGGAAAGCCAGGUUUGAUCCCUGGGUCUGGAAGAUCCCCUGGAG
ensembl:lncRNA